CUAGGUUUUUGCUCAUGCACCAUGGUUGUCUGAGCAUGCAACAUGCUUGUGUGCUCAUACCCCAUGGUUCCUGAGCAGAAAACUUC
rfam:Felis catus isolate Cinnamon breed Abyssinian chromosome X, whole genome shotgun sequence.